CCUUCAUAGGCCACUCACACCCUGUGCAGGACUCAGUCCCAGUCAGCACACAACAUGGACAUGAGGGUCCCUGCUCAGCUACUGGGGCUCCUGCUGCUCUGGCUGCCAGGUGGCACAUGCGACAUCCAGUUGACCCAGUCUCCAUCCAUCCUGUAUGCAUCUCCAGGAGACAAAAUCACCAUUACUUGUCGGGCCAGUCAAGGCAUCAGCAGCUAUUUAGGCUGGUAUCAGCAGAAACCAGGGAACGCCCCUGAGCUCCUGAUCUAUGAUUCAUACAAUUUGUACGCUGGGGUCCCAGCAAGGUUCAGUGGCAGUGGAUUUGGGACAGAUUUUACUCUCACCAUAAGCAGCUUGGAAUGUGAGGAUUCUGCAAUUUAUUACUGUCAACAGCGUCACAGUUACCCACCCACAGUGAUACAAAUCAUUACAUAAACCUCCCAGGGAAGC